GACGAACGCUGGCGGCGUGCUUAACACAUGCAAGUCGAACGGAAAGGUCCUGCUUUUGUGGGGUGCUCGAGUGGCGAAGGGGUGAGUAACACGUGUGUACCCUGUCCUCGACUUUGGGAUAAAUUAAGGAAACUGGGGCUAAUACCGGAUAGGAGCUCCUGCUGCAUGGUGGGGGUUGGAAAGUUUCGGCGGUUGGUGAUGGACUCGCGGCUUAUCAGCUUGUUGGUGGGGUAGUGGAUUACCAAGGCUUUGCCGGGUAGCCGGCCGGAGAGGGUGACCGGCCACAUUGGGACUGAGAGACGGCCCAGACGCAACCGGACGCAGCGGAGGGGAGUAUUACACAAUGGGCGGAAGCCUGAUGCAGCAACGCCGCGUGCGGGAUGACGGCCUGCGGGUUGUAAACCGCUUUCGCCUGUGACGAAGCGAGAGUGACGGUAAUGGGUAAAGAAGCACCGGCUAACUACGUG
rnacentral:rRNA from 1 species